UACGAAGGGAGCUAGCGUUGUUCGGAAUCACUGGGCGUAAAGCGCACGUAGGCGGAUGUGUCAGUCAGGGGUGAAAUCCCUCGGCUUAACCGGGGAACUGCGUCUGAUACUGGAUGCUUGAGGUUGGGAGAGGGAUGCGGAAUUCCAGGUGUAGCGGUGAAAUGCGUAGAGUAUCUGGAGGAACACCGGUGGCGAAGGCGGCAUCCUGGACCGAAUU
rnacentral:rRNA from 1 species